rnacentral:rRNA from 1 species
AGUGAACGCUGGCGGUAGGCCUAACACAUGCAAGUCGAACGGCGGCACAGUAAGAGCUUGCUCUUACGGGUGGCGAGUGGCGGACGGGUGAGGAAUACAUCGGAAUCUACUUUUUCGUGGGGGAUAACGUAGGGAAACUUACGCUAAUACCGCAUACGACCUACGGGUGAAAGCAGGGGAUCUUCGGACCUUGCGCGAUUGAAUGAGCCGAUGUCGGAUUAGCUAGUUGGCGGGGUAAAGGCCCACCAAGGCGACGAUCCGUAGCUGAUCUGAGAGGAUGAUCAGCCACACUGGAACUGAGACACGGUCCAGACUCCUACGGGAGGCAGCAGUGGGGAAUAUUGGACAAUGGGCGCAAGCCUGAUCCAGCCAUACCGCGUGGGUGAAGAAGGCCUUCGGGUUGUAAAGCCCUUUUGUUGGGAAAGAAAAGCAGCAGGUUAAUACCCCGCUGUUCUGACGGUACCCAAAGAAUAAGCACCGGCUAACUUCGUG